rnacentral:rRNA from 1 species
AUUGAACGCUGGCGGCAGGCCUAACACAUGCAAGUCGAGCGGAUGAAGGGAGCUUGCUCCUGGAUUCAGCGGCGGACGGGUGAGUAAUGCCUAGGAAUCUGCCUGGUAGUGGGGGAUAACGUCCGGAAACGGGCGCUAAUACCGCAUACGUCCUGAGGGAGAAAGUGGGGGAUCUUCGGACCUCACGCUAUCAGAUGAGCCUAGGUCGGAUUAGCUAGUUGGUGGGGUAAAGGCCUGCCAAGGCGACGAUCCGUAACUGGUCUGAGAGGAUGAUCAGUCACACUGGAACUGAAACACGGUCCAGACUCCUACGGGAGGCAGCAGUGGGGAAUAUUGGACAAUGGGCGAAAGCCUGAUCCAGCCAUGCCGCGUGUGUGAAGAAGGUCUUCGGAUUGUAAAGCACUUUAAGUUGGGAGGAAGGGCAGUAAGUUAAUACCUUGCUGUUUUGACGUUACCAACAGAAUAAGCACCGGCUAACUUCGUG